rnacentral:rRNA from 1 species
UACGUAGGGUGCAAGCGUUAUUCGGAAUUACUGGGCGUAAAGCGUGCGCAGGCGGUCAUGUAAGACAGAUGUGAAAUGCCCGGGCUUAACCUGGGAACUGCAUUUGUGACUGCAUGGCUAGAGUUUGGCAGAGGGGGGUAGAAUUCCACGUGUAGCAGUGAAAUGCGUAGAUAUGUGGAGGAACACCGAUGGCGAAGGCAGCCCCCUGGGUCAAGACUGACGCUGAUGCACGAAAGCGUGGGGAGCAAACAGG